CUACCUUAUAUCUAUUAUCCCCUCCCCAACACUUUGGUUCCUUCUUUGUUUCUCCACUAAUACAGACUCAUCUGAAGGUUGCAAACCAUCCAAGUGUUCUGAGCCCCGCCAUCCUUUCCUCCUAAAUGUGUGAGAGAAGUGACAAAAGGACUGAUCUGGCUCAACUUCAUCAUCACCUAACUGAGUGACUUGAGGGGCCAGUCACAGCUUCCAAAUGACCUAGAACUGCCUGGUGUCUAUUGGAUCUACUUCUCAUCUCUGAAGGUGUGAACACUUAUCAAAAGGAUUCACAAGUUCCUGACUGAGUUUCAGAGGGUGUGAAUUCGUUAAAAAUAUUCACAGAAUCAACAAAUGCUAGAACUGGAAGAGGCCUUCACCAAGGGAAAGACUCUGAAGUACUGUGAAGUGGGAUGCUACAUGAAUAUCAAAGAACUCAUUCAGAACAUCUGAAGCCCUAACUAUUCCCUGUCCCAGACUUUUCCUAGUGAGCCAAAACUCCCAGACAAGCCUAAAGCCUGAACUUGAAGGAGGAUUUCAUCUAAUACAUCUAUACAAGGAACCUCAUAGCCAACUGGGAACGAUUUCACCAAGUCUAAAGAUUCC
rnacentral:lncRNA from 1 species